GGCCUGAUGGUCUAGGAGUAUGAUUCGUUGUUAGGGUUUCGUUCUUUCGACGAGGUCCCGGGUUCAAUUCCCGGUCAGGCCC